rnacentral:tRNA from 1 species
UCCGGCGUAGCUCAACGGUAGAGCGAGUCCCUGUUAAGGACGAGGUUGCUGGUCCGAAUCCAGCCGCCGGAGCAA